rnacentral:rRNA from 1 species
CUUCCUGGCUCAGGACGAACGCUGGCGGCGUGCCUAAUACAUGCAAGUCGAACGAACUCUGGUAUUGAUUGGUGCUUGCAUCAUGAUUUACAUUUGAGUGAGUGGCGAACUGGUGAGUAACACGUGGGAAACCUGCCCAGAAGCGGGGGAUAACACCUGGAAACAGAUGCUAAUACCGCAUAACAACUUGGACCGCAUGGUCCGAGCUUGAAAGAUGGCUUCGGCUAUCACUUUUGGAUGGUCCCGCGGCGUAUUAGCUAGAUGGUGGGGUAACGGCUCACCAUGGCAAUGAUACGUAGCCGACCUGAGAGGGUAAUCGGCCACAUUGGGACUGAGACACGGCCCAAACUCCUACGGGAGGCAGCAGUAGGGAAUCUUCCACAAUGGACGAAAGUCUGAUGGAGCAACGCCGCGUGAGUGAAGAAGGGUUUCGGCUCGUAAAACUCUGUUGUUAAAGAAGAACAUAUCUGAGAGUAACUGUUCAGGUAUUGACGGUAUUUAACCAGAAAGCCACGGCUAACUACGUGCCAGCAGCCGCGGUAAUACGUAGGUGGCAAGCGUUGUCCGGAUUUAUUGGGCGUAAAGCGAGCGCAGGCGGUUUUUUAAGUCUGAUGUGAAAGCCUUCGGCUCAACCGAAGAAGUGCAUCGGAAACUGGGAAACUUGAGUGCAGAAGAGGACAGUGGAACUCCAUGUGUAGCGGUGAAAUGCGUAGAUAUAUGGAAGAACACCAGUGGCGAAGGCGGCUGUCUGGUCUGUAACUGACGCUGAGGCUCGAAAGUAUGGGUAGCAAACAGGAUUAGAUACCCUGGUAGUCCAUACCGUAAACGAUGAAUGCUAAGUGUUGGAGGGUUUCCGCCCUUCAGUGCUGCAGCUAACGCAUUAAGCAUUCCGCCUGGGGAGUACGGCCGCAAGGCUGAAACUCAAAGGAAUUGACGGGGGCCCGCACAAGCGGUGGAGCAUGUGGUUUAAUUCGAAGCUACGCGAAGAACCUUACCAGGUCUUGACAUACUAUGCAAAUCUAAGAGAUUAGACGUUCCCUUCGGGGACAUGGAUACAGGUGGUGCAUGGUUGUCGUCAGCUCGUGUCGUGAGAUGUUGGGUUAAGUCCCGCAACGAGCGCAACCCUUAUUAUCAGUUGCCAGCAUUAAGUUGGGCACUCUGGUGAGACUGCCGGUGACAAACCGGAGGAAGGUGGGGAUGACGUCAAAUCAUCAUGCCCCUUAUGACCUGGGCUACACACGUGCUACAAUGGAUGGUACAACGAGUUGCGAACUCGCGAGAGUAAGCUAAUCUCUUAAAGCCAUUCUCAGUUCGGAUUGUAGGCUGCAACUCGCCUACAUGAAGUCGGAAUCGCUAGUAAUCGCGGAUCAGCAUGCCGCGGUGAAUACGUUCCCGGGCCUUGUACACACCGCCCGUCACACCAUGAGAGUUUGUAACACCCAAAGUCGGUGGGGUAACCUUUUAGGAACCAGCCGCCUAAGGUC